rnacentral:rRNA from 1 species
GAUGAACGCUGGCGGCGUGCCUAAUACAUGCCAGUCGAGCGAACAGACGAGGAGCUUGCUCCUCUGACGUUAGCGGCGGACGGGUGAGUAACACGUGGAUAACCUACCUAUAAGACUGGGAUAACUUCGGGAAACCGGAGCUAAUACCGGAUAAUAUAUUGAACCGCAUGGUUCAAUAGUGAAAGACGGUUUUGCUGUCACUUAUAGAUGGAUCCGCGCCGCAUUAGCUAGUUGGUAAGGUAACGGCUUACCAAGGCAACGAUGCGUAGCCGACCUGAGAGGGUGAUCGGCCACACUGGAACUGAGAAACGGUCCAGACUCCUACGGGAGGCAGCAGUAGGGAAUCUUCCGCAAUGGGCGAAAGCCUGCCGGAGCAACGCCGCGUGAGUGAUGAAGGUCUUCGGAUCGUAAAACUCUGUUAUUAGGGAAGAACAAAUGUGUAAGUAACUAUGCACGUCUUGACGGUACCUAAUCAGAAAGCCACGGCUAACUACGUG